GUAGACGUUAGCUGAGUGGUUGGAGCACAGGCCUCUGACUCUCGGGUUCGCGAGUUCGAGUCCCGUCGUCUACU
rfam:Trichomalopsis sarcophagae strain Alberta scaffold4951, whole genome shotgun sequence.